UCUUGGAUAGCUCAGUUGGUUAGAGCAUGGUGCUGAUAACGCCAAGGUUGUCAGUUCAAUCCUUGAGAA